UAUGUGAUCGUCUCUCGCAUAUCAAUAAGCGGAGGAAAAGAAACUAACAAGGAUUCCCCUAGUAACGGCGAGUGAAGCGGGAAGAGCUCAAAUUUGAAAUCUUAAAGGGUUUCCCUUUACGAAUUGUAGUUUAAAGAAGUGUUUUCUGUUGAGGUUUUGGUAAAAGUUCUUUGGAAUAGGACAUCAUAGAGGGUGAGAAUCCCGUAUUUGACCUUUACUUUCAACUUUGUGAUACACUUUCAAAGAGUCGGAUUGUUUGGGAAUGCAGUCCAAAAUGGGUGGUAAAUUUCAUCUAAAGCUAAAUAUUGGCGAGAGACCGAUAGCGAACAAGUACCGUGAGGGAAAGAUGAAAAGAACUUUGAAAAGAGAGUUAAACAGUACGUGAAAUUGUCAAAAGGGAAGCGUUUGACACCAGUGUUGUUUUUCUGAAAAUCAAUUAAAGAACUGUUUAUGCUAAGCUGUUUAGACUUUAUCAGCUAAUCUGUUUAGUUUUGAGCUUUUCUUUAAUGCACUUUUCAGUUAACAAGUCAACAUCAAUUUCUUUUGCUGUAAAAAAGCUUGAGGAAGGUGGCUUGAGAUUCGUUUUAAGUGUUUAUAGCCUCUUGCCUAUGCAGUCGGAGAGGAUUGAGGUCUGCAGCGUAGAUCCUUCGGGGCUAAAUGCAUUUGUGCUAAGUUAUAGCAUUUUAUAGACAACUUGUUGACUAUGAUUUGUCUUGUAGCUUACUCGCUUAUGUUAUUUUACCUACGCUUAGGAUGUUGAGUAGCGACAUACGCAC
rnacentral:rRNA from 1 species